GAUCCUGGCUCAGGAUGAACGCUAGCGACAGGCUUAACACAUGCAAGUCGAGGGGGCAGCAUGAUUUGUAGCAAUACAGAUUGAUGGCGGACCGGGCGCACGGGUGAGUAACGCGUAUGCAACUUACCUAUCAGAGGGGGAUAGCCCGGCGAAAGUCGGAUUAAUACCCCAUAAAACAGGGGUCCCGCAUGGUAAUAUUUAGUUAAAGUAUUCAUCGCUGAUAGAUAGGCAUGCGUU
rnacentral:rRNA from 1 species